rnacentral:rRNA from 1 species
UACGGGGGGGGCAAGCGUUGUUCGGAAUUACUGGGCGUAAAGGGCUCGUAGGCGGCCAACUAAGUCAGACGUGAAAUCCCUCGGCUUAACCGAGGAACUGCGUCUGAUACUGGAUGGCUUGAAUCCGGGAGAGGGAUGUGGAAUUCCAGGUGUAGCGGUGAAAUGCGUAGAUAUCUGGAGGAACACCGGUGGCGAAGGCGACUUCCUGGCCUGUUCUUGACGCUGAGGCGCGAAAGCUAGGGGAGCAAACGGG